AAACAAACACAACCUACAUAAAUGGGGUGCGGACUACGUGGCUCAAGGACUCAGGAUGAUUAAAAGCAGGAGCCACACGGAGACAUCCAGAAAUGAUUGUUUUUAACAAGACAGGAACUUUGUCUGAAAACAGGAUGACCUGCUACAAAAGAUGCCAGCAAAUCCCCGUAGAGCUUUAGAAAAAACAAGCAGGCGCCUGAGUGUGCUUUAAAAAAAAAAAAUCCUGCCUGGUAAUAAAAAGGCAUGCAAGGGUAAACAGGAAAAGAGCACUCCACACUGCAAGCAGCCCAGAGGAGGAAAGGCUGGGAAGAGCGCUGAUCUGAAAACCUGAUAUGGAAACUGAAGGGAACAAUUUCUUCAUAUCCCUGGUAUAAACUCCCUGUGCAAACACAAUGUUGGGGCAGCUGUGAGCAGCGCUUCCCUACUGGUUUCACUGUGCCUUCCUUCCAGUCCUUUCCAGUGAAGGCUGUGGGACAGCAACAGGCGCUCCACAGGUGGUGUCGGUUUGCUUCAGUGGCCUCAAAGCAAUGUCAUUUCAGACUUCCACGAAAGAGCUUUUUCCUAGUGCAAAACUUUAUUUCCUGAAGGUAAAAUGACUGUAGUUCAGCCCACCUGUGCUUCAUUCACACAGCUCUCUCUCCCAGUUUUAGCAUGAAUCUCUUGACAUCUGUUGUGUUUUCCGCUAAACGUUGGCUCCGUAAGUCUUGCUGAAUUUUAAAAUCAAAUGCUGAUUUGAAGAAUUAGGAUACUGAUAGACUUCAUCAUGCUGACAACCCCUGCUUGUUGGCAGAAUCUGCAGACUCAGCUCCUAAGCAGUUUUCCCAUCACAGCCUGCCUGCCACCAGCUAGAGACCCAUGACAGCAGCCAUCAUGGUACAUACUGCGAACUCCUGUGCAGCAGCGAUCCCCUUUGUUGUGCUCCAAAGUCAAGCACUGCCUCAGCCCUGAAAUUACAGCCUGUCACAGCCUAUGCUAACAUGUGGCCAGAAGCAGCUUCUGCAGCAGCCGUACAACCCACGACUGGAAAAGGUCCAGCCCUCAGACACAAAAGGGCAGACCAGCGGUGUGGCUUCCUGCCGCUGCGUGGCGGCAGUUGGCCCUGCGGUGGCUCCUCCUGAAGGAGGGUCCUGAAGAAAUGCUGCAGUCCCAACGACUUCCAGAGCCUCACAGGAAUCAACGAGGCUGGAUACUCGUGGUGAUGGAAAUAUUAGAGACAGCGCAGGUGCAACUGCUUCUGAUUUUCACAGUGGGUUUAGCAUCCUUCCAGUCAGUCUACUAGGAAGAAGGCCGAAUCAGCCAUGGAUGGCAUAAGAACAACUGGGGAAGAGGAUGAGAAAACUGUGAAAGAGUUGCUGAGGGGACACCUGGGGACACUGGCAGUGUUUCGAGCCAGCUUCUGAAGAAAAUCUGGAAAAGUCUGACUGAAGCUGAAGUUGCUGCGUGAGGGGUAGAAGGAAACAAGGGUGCAUCCUUUUCCCCACAGUGAUGCCAUGGUAAAAGAUGACCAAUAACCAUACGGAGAAAGAACAUGCAAGAGACCAGCAGAGAAAGUGCUCAGUAAGGGAUCGAAAAUGCCAGGCCUUCAUAUGGUCCACUGACAACCUGACCAAGCUGUGUCCUGCAGGUGAUGUACAGCCCUGAGCAGGGAACAGCCAGGGCAUGCAUUUCAAGAUCGGGGUAUACGAAGCAGUACUUCACCUCCAGGCCUCAGUGGAGGACACAGAGCAGAGACAAUGUCAUGAUGGCAUGUAGCAGGCAUAGACACGAUUUUUCAUCAUGCUUGUUUACAGUGUGGCAGCUCAACUGGACUUGCUUAUUUAUGUUGUAUUGCAGUGUGCAAGUACUCAGCAAAGAGGAAGAUAUCCAAAACCAAGGUGAUAGUACAGGCUGCAGAUCAAGAGCAUGGUGAACUAAACAGGCUUUAAUAUUGCACUGCAGGACAGUAACUCCCAUGCUAAAUGAAAAAAAAGGUUAAAUUUGUAGGCAGCUGGCUUUAUAUACUCUAGGUAGGCCCACCACCUAGGAUAUUUAUAAACUCACUCAGUGGGUGACUGAGAGCAGAUCUGGGCCUGCCCAGGGCAGACUAGCUCUCCAGCAUUGCACUGGGGUGUGGUUACUGAGCUCAGUUUGGGUCACCCAACAGCAGUCCAAUCUCAGCCAGCCUUGCUGGGCAUAGCUCUACAUGCCUGUUCUGAAUGAAGUGUUCCAUUAGACCUGCUGGAGCCUGGGCAGCCUCCACUAGUUGUGGAUAAUACACAAUAAAAAGAAUGGGGUAGGCAGGGCAUGCAAGGAGAGAUUUUAUUCUCUUCCAUAAAGAAUCCAGACUACAGCUAAGCACCUGGAAACAUGCUCCUUGGGAUCUAAGUGUUGCAUCUAAAAUGCUAUGCUAUGACAGAGAGAAGUAGAAAAAAAGAUCAGUGACUUUGCAGAUGAAUGACCAUAGUACUAACAUGACAAAAUGAACUUUUAGGUUGCCAAAAUGGCAUUAUCUAAGCUUUCAAGGGUUGAUCAAUAAGAAUGCAAAAUCUCUUUCAAAUGAUGAGAAGGAGGGGUACUCAUCAGGAUUAAAGAACAGCUUUUGCUGGACUGGUGUUCCUGGCAGGUUACACCUGCUUCCCACUCCGUGCCUUGCUGCCACUCUGUCUGGAGCAACGUGCUUCUAACAAUAGCUGGUGGCUGGAAGGUACAGAGUGUGCUACACAGCUCGCUUCCUCUUCCUCCUGCCUGAUUGUUAUUGCAGAGCUCCCAGCAAGAAGGGCUCUUUAACACCAUUAAGUCACAAGAAACUGUGGCUUUGAUAGUCAGAGUCUGAUUUAAUGCAAUACCAAAUCAUAGAAAAACAUUUAAAGAGAGAAGAUGCCUUUCUCUGAGUGCUUUGUACUGUAAAGCUUCUGUAUAUACACAUACACUCACAUGCACACACAUCCUGGAGGUGUGUGUCCAGGAGGGAAAUCCUGCCUGCAUCGAAGUUAAUGACAAAUGCUCCCACUGACCUUGAGAGGGCAGGGUUUCAGGCACUGUCUGUGUAUGUGGGGGAUAUUGUGAAAGUGUUCAGGCAUGAUACGUCUGUAUUUUCUUGCUGUGAAGGACUGUGGGAGCCUGAGCAUACCAGCAACACACCAAAAUACAAAUGGAGAGCAAGAGAUUGUCCCAGGCAAGCCCCAGGAGUGCUGCCAUGCCUUCCUGCACCACGUGUUAUCUCCUGCAGCUUUGUCUGCAGGCUGUAGGAGCACCCUAUACAGUGACCUUACUCACCACCUGAGUCUUGGUGGAGUCUUGGUUUGCUUGCUUGUUUUUGGCUUGGUGAUUUUUUUGUGUGUGAUGCUUUCUUGUUUGUCUUUUUAACGUAUAUUGGGGUUAGUCUAAAAAUUGCACAGCUGCUUUCAUUACUCUGCUCUCAAAGUAGAUAGGAUAAUUUCUGAGGGCCAAUUAGAAGGUCAGCUGACCCUUGAAUAAGUAAUCAUUCAAUGAUUUCACUCUGCUUGAUUUUACCUUCAGUUACGUUUUUAGUGUGGCAGAAGGUCAAGAAAUCUACUUUAAAAGUAAUUCAGUGGUUAUGAUCUUCAAAACUCCCAUUUUAAUGCUGAUUGUAAUUCUAUUCCAGGGUUUUUUCUAAAAUCUGUUUUGAAUUUGUGCACCACUAAGCAUCGUUCAGUGAUAUUAUAGGUGGAAACAUAAGAUCCCAGAAUAAUGAACAUAAAUCUUGUUCUCUUGGAAUCCUUUUGUAGAUCUACUAAAGGUAAUUCACAGACUCACAGUUUAAAGACCUGCUUUAGUUUUUGUAGCUGUAAUGUGCCAAACUUGAGUGGCUAAUUUCGCAUCAGUCACAAAAUGCAGUAGGCCAGCCAUGUGACUUCCUUAAUGUAAAAUGCGUUUUGUAUUUAUGGGUUCUUCCUGUUUGUAACUAUCAUUUUGUAACAGCUGCAUUCUCAGUUUUGCUGCCCUGUGGCACAGCAAACACCACAAAGCAGAUCCCCAUGUCUGAAAGGCACUUCCUUCCCCCUUCAUCUUGACGGCACACAUCUGAGCCAAGGUUCCUCUGUGCAGAAUGGGGUUUGGUCCCAAUAUCGGGGCUCUCACUCCUGCUGGAAAGCACUGCACAUCCAUGGCUGGGAUCAGAUUUGGGGCAAUAUGCCAAGUUCUUUUGAGAAUUUGGGCCUGGCUGUAAAUGUCACAGCUGGUGGCUUCCCACUGCUGAAAAUCUGCUGCAAUAUUAUGGAUGAUGAGCAUUUGGAAAAUCUGGUGCUGAACACCAGUAGUCAAUAGAGUGAUGUAAAGGAGAGUGGGACAGGGCCCAGAGCUUCAGCACAGGGAAGCAGGAAUACAUUCAAUGUCAUAGACAGUGUCUGUGCAGGAUUCCAAAAAGAGCUCAAAGCCAGAGCCUUCCAGUAACACUGGACAAAUGCAUUCUCACUCCCAUGCAGAGCGGUGGCUGCUUGGACAUGUUCCAUGCUUCACUGAAGAGCUGGCAAUAUUGCAAAUUCCCAAAGAAGAAAAGCUGCUGAACCGCUUUAAAAUCAUUUUAAAGAUGUGUACAGACUCCUUUCAGAAAGUUAUGAUCAUCUAUUUUGUGUGUGUGUGUGUGUGAAUCUUCCCAUUUACUCUUCUUUGCAUACACUUUUCCUUCUCCCUUUGGAACACCAUUGUAUAUGGAAACCUGCAUAGCACAACAAUAAACAGCUGUGGAAAGCAGUCUAUAAAGACGUAAGGAGCAGUUGUUGUCACUGUACUAGCAAAGCAGUUUCUAUCAAAUUUACCUUCAAACCAGGCUCUCAGCUGCUCCCAAGCAUAUCAAGAUGAUCCCUGCAUGUGUUAGCAAUAUGCUACAGUGACAUACAUGUGUUCCUACGUAGCCUAUUCCAGCACAGGUUUCUUUGUUCAGAAUCACAUUAUGCAUGUGUUUGUUAUUCAUGUUUCUGCUUCCACAACUUUCCUUUGAUGUAAAUGUAACACAACUUUUUCAUCAUUAUUUGAAACAGAAACGUUGGGACAAAAGGAGCAUCAAAUAUAGGAAGUACUCAAUUACAUUUAGCCAAUGGUUUAUACCUUUUCUGUAUGUUAAAGCCAUCAGUAAUGUUUUUUCAGAAGAAAAAUGAAUGACUUGACUUUUGUUCAGACUACAGGCUUAGUGUAAGGGUCAGGCUGUGAUGCUGUGACACAGUGACUGCUCAAAGUCUGCCACAGAGGGUUUGUGUCAGGGGCAGGAGCAGAUUCACAUUGUCUUUUAGCAGUGCCAGACAUAUUUUUUUUUAAGAGAACUUUAGCUUUUAAGUGUCCUGCAAAUGCAAGUCCUCUGAAAAAUAAAUAUACAUCUUUGGAAAGUGACUGGAAAGAUGCUUAUGAGAGCUGGGAAAGAUGCUCAGUAUCAAUCUGUACUUUCCUCUUUAAGUGUUUCUGAGGCACGUCUUCACCUGCAAUUAACUCACAUGGCAUAUGAAGAUACACUCCUCUGUGCUUAACCUUUAAACAAAAUUUCUGUGAUUAUUGGCCUUCAUUCCCAGCGUGACUGUGAGAAAUGAGCAGGGCAGAUGGGAGCAGGCGUUCCCAGUUGAUGCUACAGAACACUUCUGUGAUGAUUUAAAUCCGUGUUAAACAAUAGCUUGUUCACAUUCAAUUGCAGAGCAUCCCAAGAUGCCGUAUGAGGCAGGGAAGAGAACCAAAAUUGCUUUUGCGGAGAUGCUAGGCGUAAUUAAAGGCUCAUGUCUGGAUCUUACAGCUAACAAACUGCUGUACAACAAGGGAAGUGGCUCCCUAAGUAGCUUUCUGCAAAACACUAAAUAUAGUGCUGUAACAAUAAAACCUAACCAUCCAGCUGCCAAAUGUAUUGUGCGCAUGUGGUACCGUGGACAUCAUGUCUGCCCUCUCCCCUCAAAUCCAUCCCCUUCUGCUGUUGGAAAAUAGCAAAAGUUCUGUCAAGAGCC